GACGAACGCUGGCGGCGUGCUUAACACAUGCAAGUCGAACGGAAAGGCCCUGCUUUUGUGGGGUGCUCGAGUGGCGAACGGGUGAGUAACACGUGAGUAACCUGCCCUUGACUUUGGGAUAACUUCAGGAAACUGGGGCUAAUACCGGAUAGGAGCUCCUGCUGCAUGGUGGGGGUUGGAAAGUUUCGGCGGUUGGGGAUGGACUCGCGGCUGAUCAGCUUGUUGGUGGGGUAGUGGCUUACCAAGGCUUUGACGGGUAGCCGGCCUGAGAGGGUGACCGGCCCCAUUGGCCCUGGGGUGCGGCCCGGGCGCCUUCGUGGGGCAGCGGUGGGGAAUUUUGCCCAAUGUGCCGAGUCCUGAUGCAGCAACGCCGCGUGCGGGAGGACGUCCUUCGGGUUGGAAACCGCUUUCGCCUGUGACGAAGCGUGAGUGCCGGUACUGGGGAAAGAAGCACCGGCUACUUCCUG
rnacentral:rRNA from 1 species